GACCAGACUCCUACGGGAGGCAGCAGUGGGGAAUAUUGCACAAUGGGGGGAACCCUGAUGCAGCGACGCCGCGUGGGCGAGGAAGUAUUUCGGUAUGUAAAGCUCUAUCAGCAGGGAAUAGAAAAGAAGGUACCUGAAAAAGAAGCCCCGGCUAACUACGUGCCAGCAGCCGCGGUAAUACGUAGGUGGCAAGCGUUAUCCGGAUUUACUGGGUGUAACGGGCGUGUAGGCGGGGACGCAAGUCAGAUGUGAAAACCACGGGCUCAACCUGUGGCCUGCAUUUGAAACUGUGUUUCUUGAGUACUGGAGAGGCAGACGGAAUUCCUAGUGUAGCGGUGAAAUGCGUAGAUAUUAGGAGGAACACCAGUGGCGAAGGCGGUCUGCUGGACAGCAACUGACGCUGAGGCGCGAAAGCGUGGGGAGCAAACAGGAUUAGAUACCCGUGUAAG
rnacentral:rRNA from 1 species